UACGUAGGGCGCAAGCGUUGUCCGGAAUCAUUGGGCGUAAAGAGCUCGUAGGUGGUCUGUUACGUCUGCUGUGAAAACCUAGGGCUUAACCCUGGGCCUGCAGUGGAUACGGGCAGACUAGAGGUAGGUAGGGGAGAAUGGAAUUCCCGGUGUAGCGGUGAAAUGCGCAGAUAUCGGGAGGAACACCGGUGGCGAAGGCGGUUCUCUGGGCCUUACCUGACGCUGAGGAGCGAAAGCGUGGGGAGCGAACAGG
rnacentral:rRNA from 1 species